rnacentral:tRNA from 1 species
GCCUUCUUGGUCAGCAUACUCGACUCGUAUUCGAGAGGUCCGUGGUUCGAAUCCCGGCGAGGGCA